GGUGUGCUGGGGCCUUGGAGAAAAAGGAUCUCAACAGGGGAGAAGAUUUCUCUGGUGAAAAGAGAAAUGGGGCUUAGGUGGAGGCAGAGGCGAAUCUGUUCUCUACUGGAAAGCCAAGGCCUAUUCAGGGAAGGCUCAAAUGUAGUAACAGCUGUGAAAUUGGUAAUUACUGGGCUAUUCAGAUUUUAAAAGCUGAGAGUAGGAAGGCCUUGAUUUGUUUAGCUCACCCUUCCUCCAAGAAGCUCAUGGUGGUAUAUAGGGUUCUCUCUUUCCAUGUUAUGCUUAUAACAGCUCUGUAAGGAAGGUGCUGGAGGCGGAUGCUCACUUCAGUGACAACGGCAAAGGCAUCAUCUCAUACUGCGUGGGAGGAAGGCAAUGGUAAAUUACAAUGGGGCUGAUUGGAAGGAGACCAGUCCAGGUCAGAACUGCAAAUCAUUGAGAGAGACAAUAUGGACUGUUAUUACUGGCAACAAAGUAGCUGUAUUUAAAACAGAACAACGGACAACAGAAACACAGGGAGAGGACAACAGAAGCAAUUCAUACAUAGUGAGCCUGCUGGCCAAUAGAUGUUGGGUGAUAUCAGAAAGCAGCAGGGCAGCCACUGAAUGAGGAACAGAAUCUGUAAGACGGUUACCUAAGAUGGUGGAUGCGGAGGCUUCAACUGCUCGCGUUGCUGCCGCCACAGCCCAUAGAUAGCGUGGUAAUCCAGUAGCUACAGGGUCAAGAAGGGUGCUGCAAUAGGCAACUGGACGGGGCUGGUCCCCAUGCACCUGGGUAAGGACAGAUUGAGAACAACCUUUGCUUUCAUGACAAUUCAUAGCCUCAAAUUGUGGAAGAAACGAGGCUUCAUUCUCCGUUUGAAUACUUUGUGUUGCUUUUAGUGCAAAGUGUAGCAGCACUUCUUACGUAAGAUGGACCAAAGAGCUUCCCUUGUUCCCACUAUACGAUGCAGGCUUUUGCCUACGGGUGUCUUGAAACAAGGUUGGCACAAAUGGCCCUGAUCUGCAGGUCACAGCCUGCUUUUAUACAGAAAACAGGGAAGUAGAGACACAAUGGAUACAUGCUUCCACACAUGGUCAUACAUUGGUACAGGAAAAUCAACAUUUGACACCUCUGCUAACAAGGUGGGUGCGCAUACCAGAAAAGCCCCUUCUUCUUAAUUCCCCAUAGCCAAGCAAAAUUAUCUUUACUUUCUGCUGAUUUGAGCCUUUUGCUUUCUUGUUCCCCUUUCUUUGUGCUUCUGGAAGCAUUGCAUGUUUCCCAGCAAGCUAGCAGCUUUUGAGGGAUUUCCAUGAUAGGCAAGCAAUUUUUAGGCUUAAGAAGCACUUGACAUUAGGCCCAAAGCUGUUAGUAUCUACCAGCAAGUUGGUAUAUAUAUGUCAAGCCACCACAGUAUUCCCCCUUUUAUACUUCCUGUACAAUAUUCUUCCACAAUUCCAUCAUUUGGUUCCACAAGUUUCUUCCACAAUUUGGUGGUCUGGGAAUUUAUUUGAAAAUGUGGCUAAUGAAACUGCCCUGGCUUGGCAGGACUGAAUGCAGAAAACUCAGCAAUGAGACAGGCAAAAUCGUAUGGCUCUGGACAUAGUGACUGCUGCCCAGGGAGGCGUAUGUGCCUUAAUAGGAGAAGAGUGCUGCAUAUACAUCCCUGACAAUUCGGGGAAUGUCUCUAUGGCCAUAAAGAGAACCCAUGAGGCUGUUGGGAAACUUUACCACCCCUCUGGAGAUGAGAAUUGGAAUUCAUUUUCUUGGUUGUCUUCCUGGUUUGGUUGGUGGGGAAAUACUAUUUUGUUUUGGAUACUAUCUGGUAUUCUCAUUCUUCUUGGGCUUUAUUGUUUAUUCCUCCUAGUGAGCUGUUGUGCUAAGUGUAUUUGAAGCCAAUGUGUUAAAUGUAUGAAAAAAGGGGAACUUGCAGUACUUGAUCAGACCGUAGGCCUCAGGAGCCGGGAGCCGGGAACUACCUAAGUUGCCUUACAAAGCCUUGUGUGGGAAGAGCCAUAUGAGAGUUUAAAGGUGGAAGAAACUGAUCAAAGUGUUUAUGAAGAGGUAUUGACUUCCAUAAAGCCAUUGAUUUAAAGGUCCUCCCCGCCCUUUAAAGUUGCUUUGUUUGUGCAUCCCAUACACAUUCUCUAUAAUGCUUUUUAAAUCAACAGCGUUUUUAUUAUUUUGUUCAUUAAAAACAAAAACAAAACUGAAGUAGCAAGGUAAAAUCUCAAUGACAAGUCAGAGGCAAAUUUCAAUCUGAAUGUUUUCUGAAGUGUAAAAGGAGGCUAAUAAGAGGUUUUGGGCAUGUUUGUGCAGGCACUUCUGCUUCUCAAAAUGCUAAUGGACUGUGUGUCAUCUAUUUGUAAAAUUGUAGAUGCUGCUUACACUGAACAAAAUGUGAUCUGUCCAAUUUUAAGCAGUGGGGGGUGGGUGACUGGUGUCAUUCAAUAAAUAAAAUUAAACAAGG